AUUGAACGCUGGCGGCAGGCUUAACACAUGCAAGUCGAGCGGAGAUGAGGUGCUUGCACCUUAUCUUAGCGGCGGACGGGUGAGUAAUGCUUAGGAAUCUGCCUAUUAGUGGGGGACAACAUUCCGAAAGGAAUGCUAAUACCGCAUACGUCCUACGGGAGAAAGCAGGGGAUCUUCGGACCUUGCGCUAAUAGAUGAGCCUAAGUCGGAUUAGCUAGUUGGUGGGGUAAAGGCCUACCACGGCGACGAUCUGUAGCGGGUCUGAGAAGAUGAUCCGCCACACUGGGACUGAGACACGGCCCAGAAUCCUACGGGAGGCAGCAGUGGGGAAUAUUGGACAAUGGGGGGAACCCUGAUCCAGCCAUGCCGCGUGUGUGAAGAAGGCCUUAUGGUUGUAAAGCACUUUAAGCGAGGAGGAGGCUACUGAGACUAAUACUCUUGGAUAGUGGACGUUACUCGCAGAAUAAGCACCGGCUAACUCUGUGCCAGCCGCCGCCGUAAUAC
rnacentral:rRNA from 1 species